rnacentral:rRNA from 1 species
UAAUACGGAGGGUGCGAGCGUUGUUCGGAAUUACUGGGCGUAAAGCGCGUGCAGGCGGCCGACUAAGUCAGGUGUGAAAGCCCGGGGCUCACCUCCGGAAGUGCGCUUGAAACUGGUCGGCUAGAGUACGGGAGAGGGAAGCGGAAUUCCUGGUGUAGCGGUGAAAUGCGUAGAUAUCAGGAGGAACACCGGCGGCGAAGGCGGCUUCCUGGACCGAUACUGACGCUGAGACGCGAAAGCGUGGGGAGCAAACAGGAUUAGAUACCCUGGUAGUCCACGCUGUAAACGAUGGGUACUAGGUGUCGUGGGUGUUGACCCCUACGGUGCCGCAGCUAACGCAUUAAGUACCCCGCCUGGGGAUUACGGUCGCAAGAUUA